AAGCUCCGCCGACUGCCCUCGGCUUGAAGUGAUUUUUGGAGAUUUUUUAAGUGAUUUUUUCGGUGGAGUCCUAUCGGCGAUCUACUGUCGGACAGGUUAUCCCAUCUCUCCCGCUAGAUUGAUGGGCUCAGGCAUC
rfam:Myotis brandtii contig188110, whole genome shotgun sequence.